GACGAACGCUGGCGGCGUGCUUAACACAUGCCAGUCGAACGAUGAAGCUUGGUGCUUGCACUGGGUGGAUGAGUGGCGAACGGGUGAGUAAUACGUGAGUAACCUGCCCUUGACUCUGGGAUAAGCCUGGGAAACUGGGUCUAAUACUGGAUAUGACAUGCCACUGCAUGGUGGUGUGUGGAAAGGGUUUUACUGGUUUUGGAUGGGCUCACGGCCUAUCAGCUUGUUGGUGGGGUAAUGGCCUACCAAGGCGACGACGGGUAGCCGGCCUGAGAGGGUGACCGGCCACACUGGGACUGAGACACGGCCCAGACUCCUACGGGAGGCAGCAGUGGGGAAUAUUGCACAAUGGGCGGAAGCCUGAUGCAGCGACGCCGCGUGAGGGAUGACGGCCUUCGGGUUGUAAACCUCUUUCAGCACGGAAGAAGCGAGAGUGACGGUACGUGCAGAAGAAGCGCCGGCUAACUACGUG
rnacentral:rRNA from 1 species